rnacentral:rRNA from 1 species
AACGAACGCUGGCGGCGCGCCUAAUACAUGCAAGUCGAGCGAGAAGACGUAGCAAUACGUUUGUAAAGCGGCGAACGGGUGAGGAAUACAUGGGUAACCUACCCUCGAGUGGGGAAUAACUAGCCGAAAGGUUAGCUAAUACCGCGUACGCUCCUUGGACUUCGGUUCAGGGAGGAAAGCGAUACCGUGGGUAUCGCGCUCUUGGAUGGGCUCAUGUCCUAUCAGCUUGUUGGUGAGGAACGGCUCACCAAGGCUUCGACGGGUAGCUGGUCUGAGAGGACGAUCAGCCACACUGGCACUGCGACACGGGCCAGACUCCUACGGGAGGCAGCAGUGGGGAAUCUUGCGCAAUGGGCGAAAGCCUGACGCAGCGACGCCGCGUGAGGGAUGACGGCCUCGGUGUACUCUUCUANCUCGCGAGACGAGAGUGACGGUAGGAGGCGAGAAGAAGACGA